CUUACCAGGUCAAGACAUGGGCGUGAUUGACAGGCUAAUGACUUUUCUCGAUUCCAUGGAUGGUGGUGCAUGGUCGCACUUAGUUGGUGCAGUGAUUUGUCAGGUUUAUUCCGGUAACGAACGAGACCUCGGCCUUGUAAAUAGCUAUGCUGCUUACAGGGACAUUGGCGGCUACGCCAAGGAAGCUCGAGGCAAUUGCAGAUCUGGAAUGCCCUUAGAUGUCCUGGGUCGCACGCGUGCUACAAUGACGCCACGAACGAGCUUGCGUGAUGAAAGUUACGCAUAAUCAGCAGUCGGCGUCUUAAGGGAUAGUCUCUUGUAACUGUGGGACUCCAACUAGGAAUGUCUCGUAAGCACAAGUCAACAUCUUGUGUUGAUUACGUCCCUGCUCUUUGUACACACCGCCCGUCGCUCCUACCGAUCGAGUGUUUAGGUGAAUUUGAUGGACGUAAGGAAGUCAAAUAAACCUGAGCACUAGAGAAGAGAAGUCGAGCAUACCU
rnacentral:rRNA from 1 species